AACGAACGCUGGCGGCAUGCCUAACACAUGCAAGUCGAACGAUUGCCUUCGGGUGAUAGUGGCGCACGGGUGCGUAACGCGUGGGAAUCUGCCCUUAGGUUCGGAAUAACAGCUGGAAACGGCUGCUAAUACCGGAUGAUAUCGCGAGAUCAAAGAUUUAUCGCCUGAGGAUGAGCCCGCGUUGGAUUAGGUAGUUGGUGGGGUAAAGGCCUACCAAGCCGACGAUCCAUAGCUGGUCUGAGAGGAUGAUCAGCCACACUGGGACUGAGACACGGCCCAGACCCAUAGCGGAGGCAGCAGUGGGGAAUAGUGGAGGAUGGGCGCAAGCCUGAGAAAGCAAUGCCGCGGGAGUGAUGAAGGCCCUAGGGGGGGAAAGCUCUUUUGACAGGGAAGAUAAUGACUGUACCGGGAGAAUAAGCCCCGGCUAACUCCGUG
rnacentral:rRNA from 1 species